GGAGGGUAUAGCUCAGUGGUAGAGCUCAUGCUUAGCAUGCAUGAGGUCCUGGGUUCAAUCCCCAGUACCUCCA
rnacentral:tRNA from 1 species